UAUGGCUUGUUUUGUUUAAAGUAUUCGUUUUAUUUUGUUUAAUGUCCUCCAAAAGCGCCGCCUGCUCAGAUCACCGGCCAGCAGUGGCUAUGUGGGGCAUUCUGCAAUUUUCACAGCUGGAAACAAUUUGACGCCUGUGGUCACGGGACUAUUCAUCUAGCAGGCGAUGAAAAUUUUUUCUUUCAUUGAAGACUAUAGCAGGAUGGGAAAAGGCCCAAUGCUCGACGAUACCUUUAUUUUGGAGACAUUUUUAUUCAAAUACUUUUUCAACACCGGAAGUGAUGGAAACCAGAGACAAAAACCCACUGUAACUUCGCUUUAGUGUUACGUCGUGCAGGGACGGGGCGAUUCGAACAGUUCACGGUCGAGCGAUGCGCAAGACUUAGUGCUCGCACGUCUCUUCGCAGAAUGGGCUGGAGUCCUGAACCGGAUCAGUGGUGUCCUCAGUAGCUUCGCUAGUGUUUCCGGCACAUACUACUAUUCUCAACGCCGACGAAGUUUCUUGACAUUCGUGCAAGCGGGCCCUGGUGUUAGCACAAGCACACAGAUGGAUCGUCGCGAGGACAGUACAGAGUGUCCGAGAAGCUACCGAAACUAGGAGGGCACCGCUGAGGAGUGCCCUCAACAUUCGUGCAAGUGGUCCCGGUUGUUCCCCCAAAGGAAAAUGCGCUUGCUCUUGACGCGACAGCUGAUGUUCUGCUGGCGUUUUUCCGGGUAGCACAAACCCCCAUUAUGUUGACGUGGUGUUGUCCCCUACACCCAUGGCGUAAUAGAGCAGCCAAGUAAC